rnacentral:rRNA from 1 species
CAAGUGGGAUGCGAAUCUCGAAAGCCUGUCUCAGUUCGGAUUGGAGGCUGAAACCCGCCUCCAUGAAGUUGGAUUCGCUAGUAGUCGCGCAUCAGCCAUGGCGCGGUGAAUACGUUCCCGGGCCUUGUACACACCGCCCGUCAAGCCAUGGGAGCCGGGGGUGCCUGAAGUUCGUGACCGCAAGGAGCGACCUAGGGCAAAACUGGUGACUGGGGCUAAGUCGUAACAAGGUAGC